GGGUGUGUGACAGAAUCUACGACGAUGAUUGGCCGCCCCCUGUCACAUGACCCGCGCGGAGGCUGUGGGGGAUGUAGUUUUAGCUAUUUUAUAAGUAUAUUGAGCGAUGGGGGUGCGGGAUGUAAACUUCACUACGAGUCCCAGAAUGCUCCGCGGUACGUGUAAGAGUUUCGCUCGGUCUCCUCAGGUGCAAGUGGCGCGGUAGAUGAAGGGAAGCUGGAGGACGUGUCAGUCUAGGACCAUGGUCAUGGAUCAUUCUUGGUGCUAAGUAGCUGACAAAACAGAAGCUGUAUAGGAAGCUUAAAUACAAACAUCUUGAGUUCUGACAAGGCUUGAAGACUUGUACAACCAUUCACAAAAGCCACCCCACCCAUUGAAACAAAAGACCUGUGUUUUUCAAUCAGGGUGCCUACAGCUGUUGCAUUAGUUGCAGUUGAUCUCUCUCCCACCAAGCGAUCCCUCCACCCAUUGAAGCAGACAGGCUCCCUGUCAUCAGCUGACUCGGCUGCAUUGCAAGUUGGGAAAAAUCCAGACAAGUCAUUUGGAAUGCUGGUAAAACUAAAUAUUGGGGUGAAAAUCCCAUAAGAAUUGUGAUAAAACCGUCAC